rnacentral:other from 1 species
GUGCUCAACGCCUUCCGGCAUCACGGUGAGCGGCAC